rnacentral:rRNA from 1 species
UACGAGGGGGGCAAGCGUUGUUCGGAAUUAUUGGGCGUAAAGGGUGCGUAGGCGGUUUGAUAAGUCAUCUGUGAAAUCUCUGGGCUCAACCCAGAGUCUGCAGGCGAAACUGUCGGGCUUGAGUAUGGGAGAGGUGAGUGGAAUUUCCGGUGUAGCGGUGAAAUGCGUAGAUAUUGGGAAGAACACCAGUGGCGAAGGGCGGACUCACUGGCUCGUAUCUGACGCUCAGGCGCGACAGCGUGGGGAUCGAAACAGG